rnacentral:rRNA from 1 species
GACGAACGCUGGCGGCGCGCCUAAUACAUGCAAGUCGUGCGGACUUAUCUUCGGAUAAGUUAGCGGCGGACGGGUGAGUAACACGUGGGCAACCUGCCUGUAAGACUGGGAUAACUCCGGGAAACCGGUGCUAAUACCAGAUACAAUCAAAGACCGCCUGGUCUUUGAUGGAAAGGUCUUGUACCGCUUACAGAUGGGCCCGCGGCGCAUUAGCUAGUUGGUGGGGUAAUGGCCUACCAAGGCGACGAUGCGUAGCCGACCUGAGAGGGUGAUCGGCCACACUGGGACUGAGACACGGCCCAGACUCCUACGGGAGGCAGCAGUAGGGAAUCUUCCGCAAUGGACGAAAGUCUGACGGAGCAACGCCGCGUGAGUGAUGAAGGCUUUCGGGUCGUAAAACUCUGUUGUCAGGGAAGAACAUCCGGGAUAACCUCCCGGUCUGACGGUACCUGAUCAGAAAGCCCCGGCUAACUACGUGCCAGCAGCCGCGGUAAUACGUAGGGGGCAAGCGUUGUCCGGAAUUAUUGGGCGUAAAGCGCGCGCAGGCGGUUUCUUAAGUCUGGUGUGAAAGCCCGCAGCUCAACUGCGGAGGGCCACUGGAAACUGGGAAGCUUGAGUGUAGGAGAGGAGAGCGGAAUUCCACGUGUAGCGGUGAAAUGCGUAGAUAUGUGGAGGAACACCCGUGGCGAAAGCGGCUCUCUGGCCUAUAACUGACGCUGAGGCGCGAAAGCGUGGGGAGCGAACAGGAUUAGAUACCCUGGUAGUCCACGCCGUAAACGAUGAGUGCUAGGUGUUGGGGACUCCAAUCCUCAGUGCCGCAGCUAACGCAAUAAGCACUCCGCCUGGGGAGUACGGCCGCAAGGCUGA